CCCUUAGACGUUCUGGGCCGCACGCGCGCUACACUGACGACGGCAACGAGCUUUCCUUUACCGAAAGGUACGGGUAAUCUUUUGAAACUUCGUCGUGCUGGGGAUAGAUCCUUGCAAUUUUUGAUCUUAAACGAGGAAUGCCUAGUAAGCGCAAGUCAUCAACUUGCGUUGAUUACGUCCCUGCCCUUUGUACACACCGCCCGUCGCUACUACCGAUUGAAUGGUUUAGUGAGGCCUUCGGAUCCGCGACUCGUUUUGUGGAGAAGUUGGACAAACUCAGUCAUUUAGAGGAAGUAAAAGUCGUAACA
rnacentral:rRNA from 1 species